rnacentral:rRNA from 1 species
UGCAGUCGAGCGGUAGAGAGAAGCUUGCUUCUCUUGAGAGCGGCGGACGGGUGAGUAAUGCCUAGGAAUCUGCCUGGUAGUGGGGGAUAACGUUCGGAAACGGACGCUAAUACCGCAUACGUCCUACGGGAGAAAGCAGGGGACCUUCGGGCCUUGCGCUAUCAGAUGAGCCUAGGUCGGAUUAGCUAGUUGGUGAGGUAAUGGCUCACCAAGGCGACGAUCCGUAACUGGUCUGAGAGGAUGAUCAGUCACACUGGAACUGAGACACGGUCCAGACUCCUACGGGAGGCAGCAGUGGGGAAUAUUGGACAAUGGGCGAAAGCCUGAUCCAGCCAUGCCGCGUGUGUGAAGAAGGUCUUCGGAUUGUAAAGCACUUUAAGUUGGGAGGAAGGGCANUUACCUAAUACGUAAUUGUUUUGACGUUACCGACAGAAUAAGCACCGGCUAACUCUGUGCCAGCAGCCGCGGUAAUACAGAGGGUGCAAGCGUUAAUCGGAAUUACUGGGCGUAAAGCGCGCGUAGGUGGUUUGUUAAGUUGGAUGUGAAAUCCCCGGGCUCAACCUGGGAACUGCAUUCAAAACUGACUGACUAGAGUAUGGUAGAGGGUGGUGGAAUUUCCUGU